UGGAGGAGUGAAAUCAACCGUCACGUGUAUCUAUAUUGGCUUUCUGCUUAUGUCAAGCUCGAACUAACGAACACCGGAAUUUCAUCGGCACCACGCCAGAGCGGCAGAUUUGACUCAAGAUUUUUCAACGUGUUUUAACUUAAAUGGACGCAUUCUUCAGUAAGUUCGACUUCAUGGCAAGAAAGGUCUGUGAUAGACUCUGUUUUCAUCAAGCUGCUUCAUUGAGAUGAAAUGCCUGCAAAUUACAUUAAAUAUGGAUUGCAUGAAAAGAUUUUGUGACCCAGCUCCCCCCUGGCAGCUGAAACCAGCAUAAUGUCGUCCUCAAGAAAUCCAUGGAUGUCAGCACAGCACGCGACACGUACCCGGUGAACUCCAAGCUACAGACAUGACAGAAAUCUAGACUGGAUCUGAUGAGCUACCAAUAGUUCCUGUCACAGGAUAUCAGAGAACCCUCAGCAUUCACCGCGACUGUUUCCUGUAAUUCAACCAGUCUGAGACGAACUGGAUUUCUCUCUUGCCUGGAUGUUGUGGGAUGCCACUCAGCGACACUGACAUCACUUCUAAGAUGCUCUCCUGAAUAUGUUGGAUCUGCAUUGACUGUGUGAGAUUCAUGAGCUACACAACCACCACUGAGAAGGACUUGCAACAGAACAAGUGGACUUCCUUCAAAACAAUUACCCGGAGAUCUUCACUUUCAAGCUCAGUGUGCCACAAGAUGUUUUAACUUAUUGCUAGUCGUCAAAAACUGCCUAGAGAGUUGUCUAGAGAGUCGAUUUGAACAAUUUCGUGACUCGAAGGAUAAUCCGUACUUGAGCCAUGUGUCUGCACGAGUCUCACCAAACAUUUGGAGAACUGCAAUAAAACAUGCACUAGACAGCAUGAGGUUACCGUCAGACCCGUCUCGAGAUCAUAUCUCGGCUCUGAACUGACUGCCAGAAGAGUUCAUGAUGAGCUGGCCUCUGCCAGCCGCAAAAACACUGGAUGAUUCACAUUGACUGUUGCUGUCUGCUAGAGAGUUAUGACUGAGGAACUCUUUUGAAAUGAAACUCUGUUGAAAUGGAACUCUUUUGAAAUGGAACUCUUUCGAAAUUUACCUCUGUUAAAAUGGAACCCUCUUGAAACUGAACUCUUUGAAACGGAACUUUGUUGAAACGGAUCUCGUUGGAAACAGAACUCUUUUGAACCAGAACUCUUUUGAGAUGGAACUCUUUUUAAAUUGAACUCUUUGAAACGGAACUCUGUUGAAACGGAACUCUUUUGAAACAGAUCUUGUUGGAAACAGAACUCUUUGGAACCUGAACUAUUUUAAGAUGGAACUCUGUUGAAACAGAACCCUUUUGAACCGGAACUCUUUUGAACCGGAACUCUUAUGAACCGGAACUCUUUUGAGAUGGACCUCUUUUGAGAUGGACCUCUUUUGAAAUUGAGCUCUUUGAAAUGGAACCUUCUUGAAAUGGAACUCUUUGAAAGGAUAAUGUAUAUUAAGUUGAAGAAGUAGAGGUCUCUCUUUCCUUGUCACUAAAGGUCAUCAGAGGUCACCUCUUUGACCCCCAUAUGUGUAGAAAAGGUUGCCUUGGCCAACCACAAUUUGACAGACGUCUAGAAUCUUGAAAGGCAGUUGCAAUAAUCUUCACUCACAGUGUUUGAUGAUGGAAAAGUGAUGUAGUCAUCACCUAGCGACAAAGUUUGGGACGAGAAGUGCAAAGUUUUCUAUAUCAAGAAAAUUGUCCAGAAACCUUCAAAACAUGCUAUCUUACUAUGUUGACCCACAAUUGAUGGCAGUAGUAGUUGAGAUCAAACCAAACCAUACAUCGUGAAUAUGGAAGAGAGGCCUCUACACACCACACCACAGUGACCACACGUAACCAGCUUCUCUCUGCAAACUCAAAGCAUAUUUCAUAGAAUUGAUUCGUCUUUGAUUUUUAUUCAGUACAUCCACCAAUUUUCUUGUAUCAAAGUAUCACAAAAAAAUUUCAACAAGCAGUGAAAAUGAGGAAAGAUAUAGCGCUGCAUUUUAUAGUUCUUAUUUCCCGCUCUGCCAGUUGCAAAAUAAACUGAAAUUUAGCCAAAUUCACUAAAUAUUCACUAAAGCUGAGGGCUGCGCAAGUAUUGAAGAAAAAAAUUCUCUCAGAAAAAUCUUGAUGAUGCAACUUCCUUUGGCAUAUAUAGAGAGAGAGCUGGUUACGUCAAAUUAAUUGAUUUUUUUAUGGCAUUGCCUGAUUGGUAAUAGUUGGGUGCAAGAUUGGUUUUCCUAGAACAAAAUUCUUUAAACUUUGUGUCGACACACAACGCUAAUGCACUUAUUUGAACUUCAUUGCCAAUUUUAAUCAUUGCUUGGUUCAGUUUAAAUUCAAAAUAAUUGGAGAUGUCCAAAAAUCCAAAUUUCUUACUCAAGCACUCAUGCAGGAAAACCCAGAUAUUCGUGUAAAUGCGCAAUUUUGCAAACAGCUUUCAUAAUUAGCCAUUCAACUUUUUGUUUAUACUUUCAAAAUUUCUUUCAACUCUUCAUAAAUGGCUUUUCAAAAAUUUUAGAUGCACUUUCCAGUUCAUCAUAACUUAGCUGCGUACUAUCAACAGCCAUACCAAUCUUGUACCCAGCUUUUGUUUUAUCAAGUAUAGUCAGCACUGGUCCACUGUUUAACUGACAAAAUUUGUCUGUGAAUGAAAAAAGUGAUUGCAUGUUGGUUUUAGUUCCACUUUUUCGAAAAAAAAUAGCCGAACCCAAAAUAUUCCAUUUCAAGUGAAAACACUGCUAAAAAUGCCUUCAAAAUUUGUUCUUAUUCGACAGUUUACCAGGUGUUUUUGUGGACACACCUUCGUUUAAAUACCUCCAGAAAUGCAGUCUUUCUUGUCCAUUGGUCAAGCAAUGUUUUUCUAAAAUCCCAUUUGAAAAAGAAAAGUAGACAGUAUCAAACUGUUGAUUACUUACAAACACCAAUUACCAAUAUUUUUAGCGCAAAAAGGAACAAAAGAAUUGAUGUUCCGGUGCUGGCUGUACAUGUUCAUUGGAAAAUAUGAUGAUUAAUUUGUUGAGUAACCCAUAUACAUAUACUUGACAUUUAACCAACAGGCAAUGUUCUGAUAUACCCGAGCCCAACGCAUGCAAGUCCCCCCGGGGCGUGCACGUGUGGUGUUCCCCGCCCGCAGAUGCCGGCUUGUCUGGUGAGUCGCCCCUAUCUGCAUUGACGAUUGGUCUUUUGUUCAAGGUGUGUGCUAGCUUCCUGAUCUUGUGGUCUGGAUAAUCGUGGAUGACUUGGUCGACUUCAACAUGGUAAGGAUCCUUUUGAACUUUGACAAUUAGUUUGCCUUUCUGCAAAGGAGAUGUCUUUUUGGCUGUUUCUUUACCGAGUGUUGCUGUGGAAAUUAUGUACCAUCUAUCAAUCUGGAGAUUGCAAAUCUAGAGAUCAAUCGAGCAUCUACUCUUGAUGUCCUGCUUGCAUUUCAAUAGUUCCAUGGCAUCAUGUUGAUCCAAAUGAUCUGCUAACAAAUGGGUACUGUUGCUGGUAUAUCUGAUGUUCUUCAAUGUGGUAGGAUUUUCGGACAGGUGUUUCAGCCGCUAUUUAUGUGAAUAACUUCCAUGGUAUAACUCUGAAAUCUCAUUGCCUUUUAUUGUGUCAUCAUGUACAAUCAGUUCUCUCAUAGAGUGUGUUCAAAUCUUAGACAUGCACGGAUAAACAUUAUAAGGAAAUAAUUUCAAAAGGAAAACAGUUAAACCGAACUGAAUCAAACGUCAAAUCUGCUUCUAAAUUCAGCAUCUGAUGUAUCACUUAAAAACUUCAGUUUGCAAAUAAUAUUUGUGUUUUUGGCAGCACAUGAUUCUUAACAUAAACCUGAAAGUAUUGACCAAAUUUUUGGCUAAAUUUCAAAAGUUACAUUUUUAACUUGAUCAACCAAAAUUUACUGACCAAACUAUUUUAUUAAAUUUCAAAAAUGCAGCUUCCCUGCCUCAGAUAAUCUCUGUAUAAAGUCAGUCAAAAUUCUAAAUUCUGGUUUUCAUCAUAAAAAAAGUAAGUCCCGAUUUCAAAGCAACUCUAUUAAACAUUGUUAAAAAUCCAAAUGUAAACAAUAAGGAAAAAGAACUCAAUGAAUGGGCCAGUGCGAUCAUUUUUAUAAUCGGAAAAGCUGUUGAAAAAAAACUAACAUGGAAAUAGAAAGUUUUAGGAAAGAAGAAAAAGGAGAGAAGGCCAAACUCUUCAAAUUGUAGGGGAGAAGUCCUGGUGUGCAGAGGGGGAGAACCAUGCUGCUUCUUGGCCAGAUGGAAGAUGUGGUGGACAAAAAGGCCCCCUGCAUCCUAACAAAUAGAAGCUGUGGUGUCAGACACAGGGAGCCAGUCCUGCCAGAUGGAUCCAUGGUAAGUUUGAUUGAAGUUUGUAGAAUGAAUUCAUGCACUGUGUACAUCCUCAUUGCUUGCUAAACCCAACGGUAAAAUGUGUAUCUCAUGGCUAGGAGUAAACGCUAUCUGUCUGCAUUACAGGAAAACAGUAUUGUACAUUAUAGUCUUCAGUCUGUGGCAAUACCAAUUAGCUCAAAGGACCAAAAAGAAAAACAAAUAUCAGCGAUUUGGCAAUUUUUAUCAAAAUCGAAAUUAAAGGCAUUGACAUGACAGUUGUACUAGGAAAUGGUCAAACAAUCCCCAUUCAAUUCUGAUAUUGCUGAAGAGAUGUCAAUACUCUUCUUAUGAGUGUCCAUUGAGUCCUACAAUCAUACAGAGAUGCAACCAGUGUAUUGGUGUGCAAAUAUCUCACUCAGUCUCGGCAAUCUUUCGGGACUUGACACUCACUGCAAGCACUUAAAGUGCUGCUGCCAAAGUCAUGGUCAAAUGUUGUGACCUCUGCACUCCAAUCCUAUGAUUGGAUGAAACCUUGGGCUUCAGCAAUCACUGCAGCCUCCCAUAGAUUCAUCACCCACCUGAUAGGUGGUUGCAUGGGGGAAUCCCCCUACCAGGGCUGUCUAAAAUGACCUUAAGCAAGAUGAUGAUGUGGUGUGUUCAUUAGUCUGUGCACAGUGAAGCCCCAUCAAACUGUGCCGCUUAGCAAUUUGAAACUAAAGCCUUGAAAAUCUAGGCAUGAAGCAAAAUCAAUACCAUCUCCUAAUUGAAACACAAACUUAGUCAUUGAUCAGGUUUCUUUCAUGCGUGUGGCUCUUCAUUUCAGUUUCUUGAACCCAGAAUAUCUGCCUCAGCAAUGUGUAUUACUGAGAGUGAUUCAUUUUCAUUUGAAAUUUGAACAUAAUGGCCAACAUGCAAGUUUGAGUACUAUCGAAAUGUAGGCCUAUAGCGCAUUUUUCCCUCACGAAAAAUCUACAACUGUCAUUGCCAUGCAUCGACCAAUAGAUAAUCCUGCUACCCAUCUGUGAGUGAAUCAUACCUUUUAAAGCUUAAAAAGUAAAUAUGAAUGUCUUAAAGAGUCCUGAAAGAUCUUCACCAUAACAUUUAGUAGUUAAAAUCGUCGAAAUUUUCAAUCCGAUACUUGUAAAGACGGAAACUCACAAUGUAGUUGAAAGUACAAAUUCCUUUGGUCUUAUGACCAGUUCUUACAUAUUUGAGAAACUGAGCAUCAGUGUUCAUGUACGUAUAAUACAUGUAUGGCGUCGGAGAGCUGUUGCAAAGAAAACAAAUCGUCAAAACGAUCAGAUUUAUUGAACAUUUCAAAUAUCCAUCCGUUCUGAGUUGGACCACUUUGGUUUCAUUUCUAAAGUAACCAAUUCUUCAAACAUUUGUAAAUGGUUGCUGAAGCCAAUCUGCCUUAAUAUAUUUUGUAACACCAGCAAAGCUAUUUAAAAAAAAUCACCAAAAAUACAAAAUGUGCAAAGUUAUUUGGCACUCAGAACAAUUCUUGUGAUAAAUUGUGAAUUUGAGCGACUUCAAAAACAAGCAUUCCAAAAGGAUCUAAAAAGUUAAUGUGGCCUGACGUAGCAAACUUAACAAGUUCUUCUUCAGAGGCAAAAAGGUUGUGAGUUUUCACAAGUUAACAAAUUGCAAGAGGAUGCCGUGAAAUGCCAGCAUCCUAUCACUAAGAUAUUUUUGUUACUAAGCUCAAUCAAAUCUGCAAUUGUAAAAAAAAAGUUGAGACGAUAAUAGGACUGUUGUUUGUUAGUUGUUAAAUAAGGUGAAGAUCUUUCAGGACACAUGUUGGUAUUGCCACAGACUGAAGACUAGCUAUGCUCCAUGCUUUAACCCUUUAGUGACCACACUUCUCUCUGUACAAUGCUGUAAACUUGCAAAGAGCAGUUCUUUAUCGAGGCACACAUUGUGAAUUGUGAUGUGUAUCCAAUUCUAAAUUAAGUAGCGGAAUAAUAGAUUAAAAUGAAAUUAAAAUGCUGGUCCUCCAUUGCCUCUACAGGCAAUUCAGUUGUGGUCUCCUCUAGCGGCUUUGGUCACCAAAGGGUUAAAAAGAAAAUAUGUCAAAGGUUUACCAAGUCAUUGUUCGGGUCAAUUUUCGAUUAAGUUUAGUUACGAAAAGGGUUGUAAGAACAUAUACAUCUAGGGCAGAUCUUUAAAUCGAAAAUGUCCAAUCUACAUCAGAAUUAAUUAAAAUACUUGUAGUAUAAAUAUUUUUUCAAAAGUUAAACGCUGAUUAGUAGCACAUAGACAACUCUUCUAAAAGGUGACAUUUAGCAAACCUCUGAAUUUUGUAUUCUAGUGAUCAAACCCUUCAUGUAGGUCUACAUUUACAUUUUUUUUAAAUAGGCUAGAUUGUAGCAUAUGUACCAUUUAAUGAUUCAUCACGUCAUGGUAAAUAUUCCUGAACCCUGCCUCUGAGAAAUUAUUGAUUAAUUUAAUGUGGUCAACAGUGAAUAACAACUUGAUGAGAUGAAUUUUACGAAAUUGAACAAAAUCUGUGCCAAAAAUAAAUAGAUAACCAAGUUAUACAAGUAACCAAGUCAUCCAAGUUGAAAUUGUUUAGCACUACAUCGAAUCCUUUGCCAGAACCGUCAAUAGAAAUACCACUUUGAGGCAGUUUGGUUUUAUCUCUCGCAGUAUUCAAAUCCUGUAGUGAAUUAAAAAGUGAGUAAACUACAUGAUCAAAGUCAGUCCUGACAUAAUGAAAUACGAUUUUGAUAACUUGUAAACUUUUCUCAGCCGAAAAUUUGCAUCAAGGUAUAAACCAGUGGAAUAUUCAAUAAGAAUUUAGUUAGCUUAGUUCGAUAAAGACACCUGGCGUGGCGUUGUGAACGAGAUCUCGGUUGCGACCUGUAGAUGAUGAUGAUAGUUAGAAAAAAAGAGCUGAUUGGUGAUUUUUGGCCUUAAUGGGAUUGGUUUCAUGUUCUUAAAAAGACCCUGAAAACACACGUUAAUGUGAUUCCAAAUGAUUUGAAAUAAAUUAAGCUAAGAGCUAAAUUCGAUAGGCACAUAAACAUGUUUGCAUGUAGGCGAUAUUACAGUGUUCCUUGUUCAUGCCUAACUUAGCAAGGGUAGACUCAGAGAGAUCUGAAAUAACUGGGACUUAGCGAUUUUGUUGACGUCACUUGGUUUGAAUCUCAGGUCAUGUACAGUUUACACUAGGCUGUACGCAACUGCAGCAGAGAAACAUCAUAUAUAAAGUUAAGACAGAACACAGUAGCCUGUACAGUUAGUUGUUACAUACAUGUAGGUUUUUCAAUUUCUUUCUAAAGAUGUCAAAGGUUCAAAAUGUUUAAGAUCAGUCUUGUCUUAAGUGUCGUAAUGGGCAGGCCCCAGGAUAAAUCAUCAACAAGUGGCAGUUUCAAUGAUUGAAUAAUAUUAUAUUACUUGAAAGAGCGUACAAAAAUUGUGCUCCUCUAUUUGGCGAAUUUUAUAGCACGCUUGCAAUUCACAAAACAGAUAUGAUUUGCCGAAGAAAAAUUGGGGGGGGGGAUGUAUUUUGUGUCACGUGAGAACCCCUUAUUUCAGAACAUACUGACACGAACUAAAUGUUUGAUGUGUAAACACAGAAGAAAAUAAAGGAACAAAUAGCUGUUCAAAACUUUUGCCAAAAUACGGUAAGUGUCCAUUCACGACACUGUACACGUGGAAUAUUUUCAUUUCAUGGCACGCAUCAAAUUUUGAUGAUGUUGUACAUGUUGUACAAAAAGCACUUAUGCAUUGAGGACUUUGAAUGUUUAAAACAUCCAAGAGAUGUGCAGAUAACCGUGCAUAGACAAAUCACCACCUGAUAUUCAUUUUGAUUACGUAUUUUGGCAGUGCACCAUGCACAGUCUCCACAAAUCUUGCAAAAACACUUUAAAAAAAUCCAGAAGAAAUUAGUUAAUCCAGCUUAAAUUCUUUAGAAAAGUGCAGACUUAAAGACAUAGUUUUCAAUCCACUCCUUUUUGGUCAUUCUUGAAACCAAGAAAACGUUUGUCCAAUUUUGCGUUGUGCGUAUGUAAACGUCACUGAAAUUACAAGGUUUUCCCCUCAUAAAGUGUCUUAUUUCACGAUCAAUCUUAGAAACUGCCAUAAAUUUUCCUGGGGCCUGCAUAGGUAUGCAUGUGAGCAUAAAUGUGCAAUAUCUGUUGUAAUGUAGACAUGUAGCAGUACAGGGCGAGUUAAAAAGAAAGUGACCAAAUUAGAAAAAUUUCGUUUAGAAUAUGUCGCUUGCUCCAUUUUAGAAAAAUAACAGUGAUAAAGUACAUGUCAUUGACUAGCAACUGUGAACAUUUCACACAAUUUGCGUAGUCUUUUCCCAAUUGUGUCUAUUUUAAUAAAAGAUCACAAACAUCAGCUGUCCACCACUGAUCAUUUACUAUUCUAUGAAUUGAUGAAUAUAUGCAUUAAAUACAAUGAAACAUGGAAGUUUUCCCACCUCCACGAAUGAAACGAAAACUUGCAAAAAGUAAGACAAAACCUUGCAUCACUAUAUCAAGAAUAUAAAAGAGUUGACUUGUUCCUCAGAUUCAAAACACAAAAUCUGACAGAAAAAAGUAAUGUUUCAGUCUUGACUCAAAUGAUCAAAAUCUCAUUUGUAUUUGAAUGCAGGUGUGUAAUCUAUUAUAAUCACUCAGCUCAGUAGCUUCCAAUGGCGUUCAUGGACAGCUAUCAAAAUAGGUUCUUCUGGUAGCCUGGAUCAAGUUCAGUAAUUAAGACGUAUUUCAUUGAUGUAUCAACUUUGAUUACUUUUUUAAUAAAAACCUCGUUAAUCCAGGUCACUUUCUUUUUGACUCGCCCUGUAUGUUUACUCCGAAUGCCAUGAUACACAUGUGGGUUUAGCAAGCAAAACAGAUGAGGAUGUAUGUUGUCAUUGUACAGUGCAUGAAUUAAUGAAAACUUCAAUUAAACUUGACCAUGGAUGGCCAUGGCGGGACAAGGCUGUCCCUGUGUCAUGAUGAUGCCACAGCUUCUGAGGAUGCUGAGGGGCAGAUUGCCACCACAUCAACAGUGGCGUAGCUAGAAUGAAGGAGGGGCCACAAGAAAACAGGAGGGGACAAAUUGAAGCCCAUGCAAUUGUCCAUGUGGGGCCAACAUGAAAUUUAAAAUUAUCAUUUGAAUGUACAUGGCUAGUUGUCAUGUUUGUGGCUUCCCGUCUGAGUUGGCCAAAAUAUGGGCCGAGCAUGGGAUUUUGAUAGAUCCCAUUUUGUCCAAUUGGACAGACAGCCCCCUCCAAAUGUUAGAAGGCCCCUCCCAUCCCCAUGAGCUACGCCACUGCACAUUAGCCAGGAAAUAGCAUGGUUCUUCAGAAAGGCACAUCAGGUUGAAAAUGGGAGUAAAAACAAAAUACUCCCCCUCAAAAUCCCCCCAAAAAACUCCUUCGACAGAAGUACGAGGAGUCAGUAACUUCAUAGGCUCAAGCAAUCACUUAGUGUGCAAAUUGCGUAUUGAAAAAAGAGUUUGGCCAGAUGUCUGUAGAAAAGGGAAAAAAAACGAUCACUCAGUAUUGAAACACUGUGUGAAAUCUAGAGAAAGCCAAAAGAAAAACUGCAAAUGUGCUUUCAGUCCAACCAAUUUCUCUCUCGUAAAACUCCCAAUUAAAAUGUUUGGGUUGUUUUAGAUUGUAACAUGUACAUCAUGUACAUUAACAUGUACAUCAUGUACAUUGAGUGCACAAAUUAAAUGAUGUACAUGUACAUUGAGUGCACAAUUCAACAGCUUUGUUGAAGAUAUUUAUGAUGGCACAAAGAAAAAAUUGUGAUCACUCUUCUCCACUGAAAGAAACCGUUGUGUAUUUGCCCAUAUACAUCAGGACUGUUUGAGACAUGUAACAAAUUGACUUUUUACUGUACAAAAUGUACGUCAACUUUGUCAGAAAAAGGGAGAACAAAAUUAAGCGCAAAAUUUACUAAGAGGAUACCAAAAACUCUAUCUUUCAGAGUACAAGGUAGAUAAAGAAAAAAGUUGCUUUGAAAUUGGACUUGUCCGACCAAAAUGUUGGUUGAAGUUUUGGCAGAAAAUCUCACUUCUUAAAAUCUGUAAAUCCUACCAAGAUAACUUUGGUAAAUUCAACUUGCAAAUUGAAACAUUUAAUUAAAUUAAAGUCUAAAUAAUAACCUAAAUUCACUUGGCACAACUAUAUCUUGUCUGCAAAAUCUGACGUUCUUAAAACUAGUAUCAGUGCUGCCAGAAAACAUCAAAAUUUACACUUUUAUUCAGUCAAAUACAUGUGUAUCUGAUGGAAAAUGCGAUGUACAUGUACAGCAUGUACAUGUAUGUACAUGCUAUGUACAUAGCAUGUACAUGUACAUAGCAUGUACAUGUACAGCAUGUACAGCAUGUACAUGUACAGCAUGUACAGCAUGUACAUGUACUUACUACCCAAGUACAAAGAAGCUUUCCAAAAUUGGCAAGGCUUUAGAGCCUGAAGAUCAAAUUUGACGAUAAUACUGUUACCUUCUCUUAAAAGGUUACGUCUGCCUCCUGUUAAACAGUUGCUGAAUUGGUUUUUUGGUCUUUGCCAAUUCAAGUUAAACGUGCAUGUCCGUCAAAACAAAUAUAUACUUACAAUUACUUGUGAAAAUCUUACGAAUAAUACGUAAUUUGAAAUGACACACUCAUGAGAUGAACUGAUCACUGUACAUGUUGAUGUGAUUAAAUGGCAGGGAAAUUUCAGAGUUAUAUCGUGGAAGUUAUUUACGUAAAUGGUAGCUGAGAUAAAUGUCCUAAAAUCUUAUUGCGUUGGAAAUAUCGGAGAAAGCUGACAAAUUGUAGCCCGUUUGUAUUGCAUUUCAUUUAAAUGGAUCAGAAACAUGAUGCAACAGUGAACGACGGAAAUGUCGAGUGAGACAAUCAUAAGUAGAUGCAAGAGAGAUCUCUACUUGGGCAAUUUUUGGAGUGAUAGUUGGUAUAUAAUUUCCAUGGCAAUACUUAGUAAUUGAAACGGUUAAUAAGGCAUCGACUUUGUCAGAAAAGUAAACGGAUUGUUGAAGUUCAUAAGGAUCCUUAUCAUGUUGGAGUUAACCAAGUCAUUUGCGAUUAUUUGGACUUGCAAGUUUGGGGAGUUAGUGCGCACUAAGAUCAACUGAUCAUGAGUUGAUGUAGAUAGAGGGCGACUCGCUGGGCUUGUCGGUGUCUGUGGGUGGGGAACACCAUGCGUGCACGCCUCGGGGGGACUUGUAUGCGUUGGGCUUUUUUUUUU